GUCCACGCUGUAAACGAUGGGCACUAGGUGUCCGGGGUAUUGACCCCCUGGGUGCCGCAGCUAACGCAUUAAGUGCCCCGCCUGGGGAGUACGGUCGCAAGAUUAAAACUCAAAGGAAUUGACGGGGGCCCGCACAAGCGGUGGAGCAUGUGGUUCAAUUCGACGCAACGCGAAGAACCUUACCUGGGCUAGACAACAGCGGACAAUCCUAGAGAUAGGACUUUCCCUUCGGGGACCGCUGGUUCAGGUGCUGCAUGGCUGUCGU
rnacentral:rRNA from 1 species